CAGUCGAGCGACAGAUAAGGAGCUUGCUCCUUUGACGUUAGCGGCGGACGGGUGAGUAACACGUGGGUAACCUACCUAUAAGACUGGGAUAACUUCGGGAAACCGGAGCUAAUACCGGAUAACAUUUGGAACCGCAUGGUUCUAAAGUGAAAGAUGGUUUUGCUAUCACUUAUAGAUGGACCCGCGCCGUAUUAGCUAGUUGGUAAGGUAACGGCUUACCAAGGCGACGAUACGUAGCCGACCUGAGAGGGUGAUCGGCCACACUGGAACUGAGACACGGUCCAGACUCCUACGGGAGGCAGCAGUAGGGAAUCUUCCGCAAUGGGCGAAAGCCUGACGGAGCAACGCCGCGUGAGUGAUGAAGGGUUUCGGCUCGUAAAACUCUGUUAUUAGGGAAGAACAAACGUGUAAGUAACUGUGCACGUCUUGACGGUACCUAAUCAGAAAGCCACGGCUAACUACGUGCCAGCAGCCGCGGUAAUACGUAGGUGGCAAGCGUUAUCCGGAAUUAUUGGGCGUAAAGCGCGCGUAGGCGGUUUCUUAAGUCUGAUGUGAAAGCCCACGGCUCAACCGUGGAGGGUCAUUGGAAACUGGGAAACUUGAGUGCAGAAGAGGAAAGUGGAAUUCCAUGUGUAGCGGUGAAAUGCGCAGAGAUAUGGAGGAACACCAGUGGCGAAAGCGACUUUCUGGUCUGUAACUGACGCUGAUGUGCGAAAGCGUGGGGAUCAAACAGAUUAGAUACCCUGGUAGUCCACGCCGUAACGAUGA
rnacentral:rRNA from 1 species